UGGGGAAUUUUGGACAAUGGGGGAAACCCUGAUCCAGCCAUCCCGCGUGUGCGAUGAAGGCCUUCGGGUUGUAAAGCACUUUUGGCAGGAAAGAAACGUCGCGGGUUAAUACCCCGCGAAACUGACGGUACCUGCAGAAUAAGCACCGGCUAACUACGUGCCAGCAGCCGCGGUAAUACGUAGGGUGCAAGCGUUAAUCGGAAUUACUGGGCGUAAAGCGUGCGCAGGCGGUUCGGAAAGAAAGAUGUGAAAUCCCAGAGCUUAACUUUGGAACUGCAUUUUUAACUACCGGGCUAGAGUGUGUCAGAGGGAGGUGGAAUUCCGCGUGUAGCAGUGAAAUGCGUAGAUAUGCGGAGGAACACCGAUGGCGAAGGCAGCCUCCUGGGAUAACACUGACGCUCAUGCACGAAAGCGUGGGGAGCAAACAGGAUUAGAUACCCUGGUAGUCCACGCCCUAAACGAUGUCAACUAGCUGUUGGGGCCUUCGGCCUUGGUAGGCGCAGCUAACGCGUGAAGUUGACCGCCUGGGGAGUACGGUCGGCAAG
rnacentral:rRNA from 1 species